ACAAGCUGCGAAGGCAUCUUCAGCAGCUGGAAAGAACUUCGGACAGGGAUGAGCUCGCGGCCUAUCAGCUAGUUGGUGAGGUAAUGGCUCACCAAGGCGUCCACCGGUAGCCGGCCUGAGAGGGUGACCGGCCACACUGGGACUGACACACUGCCCAGACUCCUACGGGAGGCAGCAGUGGGGAAUAUUGCACAAUGGGCGCAAGCCUGAUGCAGCAACGCCGCGUGAGGGACGACGGCCUUCGGGUUGUAAACCUCUUUUAGCAGGGAAGAAGCUAAAGUGACGGUACCUGCAGAAAAAGCACCGGCUAACUACGUGCCAGCAGCCGCGGUAAUACAUACGGUGCAAGCAUUAUCCGGAAUUAUUGGACGUAAAGAGCUCGUAUGCGGUUUGUCGCGUCUGCUGUGAAACCCCAAGGCUCAACCUCGGGCCUGCAAUGCGUACCGGCACACUACAGUGCGGUAGGGGAGAUUGGAAUUCCUGGUGUACCGCUGGAAUGCGCAUAUAUCAAGUAGGAACACCGAUGGCGAAGGCAGAUCUCUGGGCCGUAACUGACGCUGAGGAGCGAAAGGGUGGGGAGCAAACAGGCUUACAUACCCUGGUAGUCCACCCCGUAAACGUUGGGAACUAGUUGUGGGGUGCAUUCCACGGAUUCCGUGACGCAGCUAACGCAUUAAGUUCUCCGCCUGGGGAGUACGGCCGCAAGGCUAAAACUCAAAGGAAUUGACGGGGACCCGCACAAGCGGCGGAGCAUGGGGAUUAAUUCGAUGCAACGCGAAGAACCUUACCAAGGCUUGACAUAUCCGAGAACGCUGCAGAAAUGUAGAACUCUUUGGACACUCGUAAACAGGUGGUGCAUGGUUGUCGUCAGCUCGUGUCGUGAGAUGUUGGGUUAAGUCCCGCAACGAGCGCAACCCUCGUUUUAUGUUGCCAGCACGUAAUGGUGGGAACUCAUGGGAUACUGCCGGGGUCAACUCGGAGGAAGGUGGGGAUGACGUCAAAUCAUCAUUCCCCUUAUGUCUUGGGCUUCACGCAUGCUACAAUGGCCGGUACAAAGGGCUGCAAUACCGUAAGGUGGAGCGAAUCCCAAAAAGCCGGUCCCAGUUCGGAUUGAUGUCUGCAACUCGACCUCAUGAAGUCGGAGUCGCUAGUAAUCGCAGAUCAGCAACGCUGCGGUGAAUACGUUCCCGGGUCUUGUACACACCGCCCGUCAAGUCAUGAAAGUCGGUAACACCUGAACGCCGGUGGCCCAACCCUUGUGGAGGGAGCCGUCGAAGGUGGGAUCGGUAAUUAGGAGCU
rnacentral:rRNA from 1 species